CAGGAGCAGACAAUGUCAAUGACUCAUGGUCGAGUAGCAUGUACAGUGUGGAUACACUGGACGAAGGGAUAAUUCACAUCCUGGGCAGGACAGAGCUACCAGAAAGAAUUCCUCAGAGAGAGAAGACUGUAAUAAUGGCGAACCCCCUAGGAAGAUAAUACCAGAGAAGAAUUCACUUAGACAGACAUACAACAGCUGUGCCAGACUCUGCUUAAACCAAGAAACAGUAUGUUUAGGAAGCACUGCUAUGAAGACUGAGAAUUGUGUGGCCAAAACAAAACUUGCCAAUGGCACUUCCAGUAUGAUUGUGCCCAAGCA
rnacentral:lncRNA from 1 species